CCAGGCUCCAUCGUCAGAAGGUUCCACUUACUGCAGAACUCUGUCUCCAGAGAGCGUGGAUUCUAACUAGUUUUUUUCCACCUCUAAAAAAGUGGCUAGCUCAUCAUUAUUGUCCUCAUUUUUUAGGAAGGAACCACAUGUGAAACCACUUACCUGUUUAACCCUAUGAACUUGAAGAGAACAUGUAAUGCCACUUAAAAUACCUAAGCUCGGGUUCUGCCUUCAGCGACUCCUGGUAGUAGUGCCCUUAUGAGCCAUUUAUCAAGAAGGCUUUAAGAUACAAGAUACUUCAAUGAAUAAAACAAAGACCUUUGCUUUCCUGAAACUUGAGAUCAAAUGGAGGACACACAAAAACAACGCACCUACAAAUCACCAUAUUGUGUGUCAGGAGCCUCUAGGUUACCCUCAUCCAUAGGAAUCACAUCUGCAUUCCUGUAACUGCAUAAGGAGAAAGAAGGUGGAAGCUGAGGAUGCUAUGAAAACCCCUUGAGGAAACAAAGGCACCUUGGGGGCCAUUGAGAACUCCUGACGAAGAGGGCUCAGCUGCCAGACCUGCUCAAGAAAGACCUCAGAAAUCUCUAUGGGGCUGUCAGAAGAAAAGGUUUGAAAAGGGUCUGGAGAGACUGAAAUUUGUCUGCCUUGGACUUUUCUUUUGACAAUUCACAUCCAACUUAAGCAGAAUCAUUGUUUAUUCUUAUUAUGCCAGGUUUCCUUUUCUGGUCUGCAGGUUCUCUAGGGUUUCAUAGGCUAGUAGUUGGAAUUUUCAUAUUUCCAAAGCAUUGGGGAUUUUGCAAAAACAAAAUCUAAAGGAUAUUCAGCAGCACAGUUUACUUAGGAGGUUUUAAUCAUAAUAAUCUGCAUAAUGUAUGAGAAUUUCUACCUCA
rnacentral:lncRNA from 1 species